UUGAUAUAAUGAUGAUUGCAUAGUUCAGCAGAUUAAACUGUGAAGAUUACCUGUUGUCUUUCGCUCCUAGCUGAUGUAUCAA
ensembl:snoRNA small nucleolar RNA snR60/Z15/Z230/Z193/J17